rnacentral:misc_RNA from 1 species
GUGUGUGUGUGUGUGUGUGUAAGGCAACAAAGCCUGGAGUAGUUUCUCCUUUCCAUUAAUGGGUCUUCCCCAUUUCAUAAAGAAAAUCAAAAGAAGUAUAAAUUGAAUACAAUAGGUGAUCUUGCCUUCUGCAUAUUUUGGGAUUUUCUAUUACUCUAUAUCUGAUUUUGGUGAUACUUAUUACUGUCUGUUGCUGAUUUGUUUGCCAUGACUACUGAAAGUGUCCAUAAUUCUAGCCCUGCAAUCUUUUUUUUUUCCCUCCUGUCUUUUCCAUGAA